GCGGGCUGGACACCCCCCGCUGGGCACUGCUUCACGGCGUGCGCGGCGGGGCCGGCCCUGCUGAAUUAUUCACCCGUGUCUUUUGCGUACUUCUUGUUUCCUGGGUGGGCUCGCCCGCCCCUCAGGACCAACCACAAACCUUUUGCAAUAGCAAUCAGCGUCAGUAACAACGUAAUUAAUUACAACUUUCAACAACGGAUCUCUUGGUUCUGGCAUCGAUGAAGAACGCAGCGAAAUGCGAUACGUAGUGUGAAUUGCAGAAUUCAGUGAAUCAUCGAAUCUUUGAACGCACAUUGCGCCCUUUGGUAUUCCAAAGGGCAUGCCUGUUCGAGCGUCAUUUGUACCCUCAAGCUUUGCUUGGUGUUGGGCGUCUUUUGUCUCCAGUUCGCUGGAGACUCGCCUUAAAGUCAUUGGCAGCCGGCCUACUGGUUUCGGAGCGCAGCACAAGUCGCGCUCUUUGCCAGCCAAGGUCAGCGUCCAGCAAGCCUUUUUUUCAACCUUUGACCUCGGAUCAGGUAGGGAUACCCGCUGAACUUAAGCAUAUCAAUAA
rnacentral:misc_RNA from 1 species